GACGAACGCUGGCGGCGUGCCUAAUACAUGCAAGUCGAGCGGACUAAACAGGAGCUUGCUCUUGUUUGGUUAGCGGCGGACGGGUGAGUAACACGUGGGUAACCUGCCCGUAAGACCGGGAUAACUCCGGGAAACCGGAGCUAAUACCGGAUAACACCGAAGACCGCAUGGUCUUUGGUUGAAAGGCGGCUUCGGCUGCCACUUACGGAUGGGCCCGCGGCGCAUUAGCUAGUUGGUGAGGUAACGGCUCACCAAGGCGACGAUGCGUAGCCGGCCUGAGAGGGUGACCGGCCACACUGGGACUGAGACACGGCCCAGACUCCUACGGGAGGCAGCAGUAGGGAAUCUUCCGCAAUGGACGAAAGUCUGACGGAGCGACGCCGCGUGAGCGAAGAAGGGCUUCGGAUCGUAAAGCUCUGUUGUUAGGGAAGAAGAAGCGCCGUUCGAACAGGGCGGCGCGGUGACGGUACCUAACGAGAAAGCCCCGGCUAACUACGUG
rnacentral:rRNA from 1 species